rnacentral:tRNA from 1 species
GAGGGUAUAGCUCAAGUGGUAGAGUGUGUGUUUAGCAUACACGAGGUCCUGGGGUCAAUCCCCAGUGCCUCCU